UAAUUAACUGGACGUUACCCACAGAAGAAGCACCGGCUAACUCCGUGCCAGCAGCCGCGGUAAUACGGAGGGUGCGAGCGUUAAUCGGAAUUACUGGGCGUAAAGGGUGCGUAGGUGGUUGAUUAAGUUAUCUGUGAAAUUCCUGGGCUUAACCUGGGACGGUCAGAUAAUACUGGUUGACUCGAGUAUGGGAGAGGGUAGUGGAAUUUCCGGUGUAGCGGUGAAAUGCGUAGAGAUCGGAAGGAACACCAGUGGCGAAGGCGGCUACCGGCCUAAUACUGACACUGAGGCACGAAAGCGUGGGGAGCAAACAGGAUUAGAUACCC
rnacentral:rRNA from 1 species